rnacentral:rRNA from 1 species
GAUGAACGCUGGCGGCGUGCUUAACACAUGCAAGUCGAACGAUGAAGCCCAGCUUGCUGGGUGGAUUAGUGGCGAACGGGUGAGUAACACGUGAGUAACCUGCCCUUAACUCUGGGAUAAGCCUGGGAAACUCGGUCUAAUACCGGAUAGGAGCGUCCACCGCAUGGUGGGUGUUGGAAAGAUUUAUCGGUUUUGGAUGGACUCGCGGCCUAUCAGCUUGUUGGUGAGGUAAUGGCUCACCAAGGCGACGACGGGUAGCCGGCCUGAGAGGGUGACCGGCCACACUGGGACUGAGACACGGCCCAGACUCCUACGGGAGGCAGCAGUGGGGAAUAUUGCACAAUGGGCGCAAGCCUGAUGCAGCGACGCCGCGUGAGGGAUGACGGCCUUCGGGUUGUAAACCUCUUUCAGUAGGGAAGAAGCGAAAGUGACGGUACCUGCAGAAGAAGCACCGGCUAACUACGUG